GUAUAUUUCAAUCAAGAUUGUUGAGGUUAAUUGUGCUUCUUUUAUGCUAUCUCUGAAAGCAUGUAUAUUUCAAUCAAGAUUGUUGAGUAAACUUUUCUUACUUUAUGCUAUCUCUGAAAGCAUGUAUAUUUCAGUCAAGAUUGUUGAGUAAAUUGUGCUUAUUUUAUGCUUUUUUCUUUUUUACAUUAGAAAAUUCCACACUUUUAUCACGAGGAUGACAUUUAGGAAUGACAAGUUUAUAGAAGCUCAACUAUUCGAAGCAGGAGACCGAAGAGAAAAAAGAAAGAGAGAUGAUAUUACAGCUGCAGAAAAGGAAAUAAUUGAAACGCAGAAGAAUAUAUUAAUGUACUGUGUGAAAUAUGUGACUUGUAUAAGCAAUCAGUUGCAAAUCAGACUGCUGUCAUAGAAAAUCAAAUAUAAUUAUUAAUUUAUUAAAAAAAUAAAUCAUGCAUUUCAAAU